GCUUGCAAAUAUCAUUAAUAGGUUAACAUACCCUUCUGAACAUGUCAUCAUGUCAGCCUCUCUGUCAUUUUAAGAUGGAGCAGCGUCUGUCUCCAAGUCUCUCCUCUGUUUUUUAACAUUUAAAAGUACACCUAUUUAUACCUUAGGUGUCUUCAUUUUAGGGUCACCGUAGUUCAUAUUUGAAAAAGUAACACUUCUUUUACUUUAUUCAUUUUAGGACCUCCCUUAAUUUGGCAAACAUACAAGGCCAUAACUAAAGGCUGCAUACGUCAUGGAAAUUUUCCUGACUUAGUUCAAGAUGGCAAUCUUAAAGUCUGAAUAGCUUAUCUGUUGUUUAUACUAAGACGUAAGUGUACAGGGAGAUUCCUGAAUUUGGGGAAGUUCCAUUAACUUGGGGUUAUCACAGUAUAUUGUGUACUGAAAGAGGAAUAGUAUAGCCUUAGAAACAUAGAAACAUAGAAUGUGAUGGCAGAUAAGAACCAUUCGGCCCAUCUAGUCUGCCCAAUUUUCUAAAUACUUUCAUUAGUCCCUAGCCUUAUCUUAUAGUUCGGAUAGCCUUAUGCCUAUCCCACGCAUGCUUAAACUCCUUUACUGUGUUAACC